GACGAACGCUGGCGGCGUGCUUAACACAUGCAAGUCGAACGGAAAGGCCCUGCUUUUGUGGGGUGCUCGAGUGGCGAACGGGUGAGUAACACGUGAGUAACCUGCCCUUGACUUUGGGAUAACUUCAGGAAACUGGGGCUAAUACCGGAUAGGAGCUCCUGCUGCAUGGUGGGGGUUGGAAAGUUUCGGCGGUUGGGGAUGGACUCGCGGCUUAUCAGCUUGUUGGUGGGGUAGUGGCUUACCAAGGCUUUGACGGGUAGCCGGCCUGAGAGGGUGACCGGCCACAUUGGGACUGAGAUACGGCCCAGACUCCUACGGGAGGCAGCAGUGGGGAAUCUUGCACAAUGGGCGGAAGCCUGAUGCAGCAACGCCGCGUGCGGGAUGACGGCCUUCGGGUUGUAAACCGCUUUCGACGGUGACGAAGCGUGAGUGACGGUAAUGGGUAAAGAAGCACCGGCUAACUACGUG
rnacentral:rRNA from 1 species